UCUCUCAGUAAGGUGGGGUAUAUAUCAGUAGGGGGGGGUAUAUCUCAGUAAGGUGGGGUGUCUCUCAGUAAGGUGGGGGAUCUCUCAGUAAUGUGGGGUAUCUCUCAGUAAGGUGGAGUAUCUCUCAGUAGGGGGGGGUAUAUCUCAGUAAGGUGGGGUGUCUCUCAGUAAGGUGGGGGAUCUCUCAGUAAUGUGGGGUAUCUCUCAGUAAUGUGGGGUAUCUCUCAGUAAGGUGGGGUAUCUCUCAGUAAGGUGGGGUAUCUCUCAGUAAGGUGGGGUAUCUCUCAGUAAGGUGGGGUAUCUCUCAGUAAGGUCGGUUAUCUCCCAGUUAGGUGGAAUAUCACAUUCUGGAAAUGGGUCUUGUGUUGUACUAUAUAAAGAGUUAUGGCCCUUUGAUCACCAUGUGUCUUCAGUAUACCAAGGUAUAAGAAAUUUAAUGUCAUUCUGUCAUUACCAAAUUUUUAAUUGAAGUACCUGUUCGUACAUCUCAUUAUUACUAAAUAAAAUCAGGUCUUGUCUCUCAGUUUGUAGAGUUAUAAGUACGCUUUGUUAACUUAGCAUCUUUUUGUCCUUUGCCUGUCCCAUAUGCUCCAAUUGCCUACAUAAUAGCAGAAUUUCGUAUGAGAGUACCUCUUGGUAUGGUGGAGUGUCGCAUAGUAAAAUCAGGUGCAAUACCCUACUACAUAAUAGUUAGGGCUCUUUGAUCAUGUUUUGAUAACAAUGUUUGUCCAGAGUAAGGGCACUGUUGAUUGCUUGUAAUACUUUGCAUCAUUCAUAUUAAAUAUAACAGUAAAUGUUUUAUAAGC